rnacentral:lncRNA from 1 species
AAUGUCCAAAGUAGGCAAAUUUAUAGAGAAAGAAAGCAGAGGCCAGGUGCAAUGGCUCAUACCUGUAAUUCCAGCACUUUGGGAGGCCGAGACGGGUGGAUCACUUGAGGCCAGAAGCUUUAGACCAGCCUGGCCAACAGGGUGAAACCCUGUCUCUACUAAAAAUACAAAAAUUAGCCGGGCACAGUGGUGCAUGCCUGUAAUCCCAGCUACUCAGGAGGCUGAGACAUGAGAAUCACUCGAGCCCAAGAGGUGGAGGUUGCAGUCAGCUGAGAUCAUGCCACUGCACUCCAGCCUGAGCAAGAGAAGGAGACUCAGUCUCAAAAAAAAAUAAAUAAAAUAAAUAGAAUAGUGAUGGCUUAGGGCUGGGAGGAGGGUAGGGGAAAGAAUAGGGAAUGACUGAUAAUGGGUAUAGGGUUUCUUUUAGGAGGGGCAACAAUGUUCUAAAAUUAAAUGGGGAUGAUGUUUUCAAUAUACAAAACAUAUUGAAUAUACUAAAAAAUAUUAAAUUGGACAUGUGAAAUGGGUAAAAUGUGUGGUAUGUAAAUUACAUCCCAAUAUGGCUGUUUAAAAAUUUACAGUGAAAAGUAAA